AAGUGGUACUGGGAUGGAACCCAGGGCCUCAUCCAUGCUAGGCAAGUAUUCUACCAGCUGAGCCACACCCCAGCCCCAGGAACUCCAUAGUUAAGAUAGAUUCUUCCUUAUGUGUGUCCAUCUUCUUACUGACCAUUUCAGGGUAUGAGUACUGCCCUCUCCUGUCAGUGCAGGCAGCUGCUUGUGUCACGUUCAUAUGCCCUGGCAAUGACAGCUCACCAAUGAGUGGCUGAAGUCAUCACUGUGGUCUGGGAGCUGUUCCUCCCAGAUCUCACCAGAGGAGUCCUUGAGGCCAAACAUGAAGACAAGAGGAUUGAUGUGUCUGUAUUUCGCCUCUCUUUGUCACCCUGAUGGUUUUAUACAAGCCCCGAAUCAGCGGCACACAGGCCCAGACACACAGAGUAGAAAGCAUAGGCUGGGCCAAGCUCUUUUGCACAGGUUGGGCCCCGUCACUGGAGAGCCCUUCUACACUGAGCUGCAUGCUCGUUCCUGGUCAUCUGGAGCCAGGAGGAGGGUGAAUGUUUCUGAUGUUCCUUCUGCUCAGGCAUGGGGAUGUCAAAAGAAUGAGAUUUAAGUUCGCUGUCUAAGCCACAGAGGUGGUGUUUGGAGCCCCCUCCACUGAGAAUGGGUGGGUAAGCAGCAUUUAGAUGCUGGAUUGUGGGUAGUUUUCUUAAACCGAUCUACCUAUCUCUGUUUCCUGACCUCUAAGAUGAAGAUAACAUCUGCCCAUAUGGCUGCUGAGGCAGUGAGUACCUAUGGGGACCUGUGUGAUGCCAGGUGCCUGGGAAGCUUGGGGCACUCGUUAGUUGUUUGUCUCAUCUUGUCUCAUCUUGCUCCCCAGUUCCCUCUCUCAGGGCACAAGACCAAGUUUUCAUUGCCCAUUGAGGUAAAGAAACCUAGGUGAAGAGAGUCUAGGGCAGCCUCUCCACCUCUGCCACAUGAUCACUCUGGGAGGUGGGAUUUGCCUCGGGAUCCUGAAGGCUGGGCUCUGGGCCAGCUGUUGGGGUCUCCGAGCUGCAUUCAACACUUUUAGACAUUUCUAAUGCAUCACCACUGUGACCCCAGCUGAUGAAAAAGUGCUUCUCGACUGCCUAUUUAUCAUUGUCCCCUGCAUGAACAGUUCCACAGGCACCAGACAGGUGAAGCUUUGAUUGGCAAGCGUGAUUGGCACCCAGAGGACACUAUCCAAAUCCAGAUCCACUCCUUAACCAUGGUGGCUGUGAGUAUGCCAGCAUGGUGCCUGGAUGAGGUCUUUGCGCCUCUACCCUGGUACACUUGCUAACCCCCCUCCUCCUUCUCAGCCGUCUGCAUUUUCCAGACCAACAAUUCACAUCCUGUUCCAUAUUUCAAUCACAAGGUGCCAUGGCAGACUUCAAAGCAUGUCAGCGCAUAGUUAAGAGUCUGAGGAAAACAUGUCAGUGGACGCCGAGCUUUACACGUCACCCGUCACAGGGACAAUGUUCUAGUCUCUUGAGUCAUGCUGUCAAGUAGGCUGCUGAUUUCCAAAGCUUCAUUAAGAAAAGCCCAUGGCCUUUCCUGAUGGUCACAUCAGUGUUCUCAGGACUACCUGCUCCCUGGAAGGACCCAGCGCUGCCUGGCUUCCUCCAUGGCUCAAUGAAGGAUAAAAAUGGAAACUGACCACUGAAUGGAAGGAAUCUGAGUACAUAUGAUGGGAGAGAAUCACAAAUCAUUCAAGUUCAUUAGGAGCCUGAGCAUGUGGGGAGCUCUGAGAUGAUCAUCCCAUUUCCUCAAACUGCCUACGUCUCAUGGGAAAUUUAGGGACCAACCUCUACAUGCCACAAAGUCCUAUUUAUAGAAUUUCUCUUAUGCUCAUUCUUCUUUGUGACAAAAAGGAGCAGCUCCCCCGCCAGAGAGGUUUCUAUAAGGUCUAUGCAAACUCAGCCUCAGCCAGGUUGGUCCUCCUGGGAAAAUGCAUCUUAAGAAACACAAGGCUGAAGCUGGGCGUUGGUGG